rnacentral:rRNA from 1 species
CGGGUGAGUAACGCGUGAGGAACCUGCCUCAAAGAGGGGGACAACAGUUGGAAACGACUGCUAAUACCGCAUAAGCCCACGGCUCGGCAUGAGCAGAGGGAAAAGGAGUGAUCCGCUUUGAGAUGGCCUCGCGUCCGAUUAGCUGGUUGGUGAGGUAACGGCCCACCAAGGCGACGAUCGGUAGCCGGACUGAGAGGUUGAACGGCCACAUUGGGACUGAGACACGGCCCAG